GUAGCCUGCUGCAGUGAUCAGGGAGUCACUGUUACACAGAAGAAAGUGGGGCUUUCAGCUCCUGAGACAUCCACAAUGGGAGAGUCCCUGCCUGCAGAGAGCCCCCGAGUACCAAUCCUUCAUGCUUCACAGACCAACCAGGAACACUGAUCUCCUAAUGAGGACACCACUAACAGCAGAGCCGCCACAACUGGACAGCUCCUGGUUCAUCACUACACGAUGCAGGAAGUCAUAAAAUGAAGCAAAUAUUUUUUCACUAAUGAGCCAAAACCCAGUCUGGAAUAAUACAGGAACAAGCGCAAAACUUGUACAGUUGCUCGAGAACAGCAUGUUAUUUUUCAAUUUAAUGAGUCAUACAGGAACCAGCAUCUGAUUUCUACCAAGCCUAAGCUGGUCUGUUUUCUACUGCACGUUUUACACAGCACAGAGGGGUACAGGAACCUGGGAGGAAAGCAGCCCACUUCCUGACGAGUGCGAGACAGGAACACACAGAGAACCGUCUCCGCGAGUGCCAGCCAGCAGAGGCAAAUCCAGCUUUAAAACAAGCCCAGAAAAAAAAUAUUGAUUUGGGAAUUGCAAAUGAGACGUGCACAAUUAGGAAGAACAUAAAUCUCUGAUUAAUUAUGGCAAGAAAAUCAGGAUGUACAAAUGAAAAUGUGGAGACACGCUGCCUAAUCAAUGUCAUCGAGAUUUUCACACCCUUCCUUGUCUGGAAACAGCUUUAUCCACUACCGAGAAACCCGUUUUGAAAAAACCCUAAAUCCUAAAAGAGAUCAGGAAGAUGAGACAACUCAAUCUAGAGUGAGUGGUUAUUCUUAUGAACAAGACUCGCUGCUAGAAGUAAUAAUAAUAAUUGCUUUCACUUAUAUAGCGCUUUUCUGGACACUCCACUCA